GUUUGAUUAGCUCAGUUGGUUUAGAGCGAUCGACUCUUAAUCGAUGCGUCACAGGUUCGACUCCUGUAUCAAACCCCA
rnacentral:tRNA from 1 species